GCGGGGCUGGUGGGAGCGAGGGUCUUCCACGGAGCGGGUUCGGGGCAAAGCUGCCUGCCUGCAGCAGAGAUUAAAGGCACUGGCUGGACACUGGGGAAAGCAAUGCUUUUGGCUGCUUUGUGUGCACUUGUUAUUCUUGAAGCUCACAGUGAUGUGACAACAAUAGACAAGAGAGUGUGUGACUCCGUUAUUUUUGAUCUUCACUAUCCCCAGUUGGACCAGCUUUCUCGGAUCACCUGGUACAAGGGAAAUACAUCCUUAAAGCACUGGACACGUGGCAACGCAGUGUCCAGCCAAAGGAUUCAUGUCUAUCCUAAUGGGGCAUUAGGGAUUCGCAGUGUAGUGAAAGAGGAUGUGGGGUGGUACACGGCGAUUGUGCGCAACAGCUCUGAGCAUCUCCUUUACCAAAAAGUAUUUCAGCUACGUGUACAUGCAGAGCACCUUGUCAGAAGACUUGUCGGUGACUGCUUUACUUUUGACCUGAACUGCCUGCAGCCAGACAGGUACAUCCAUGUCACCUGGAAGAAAGGUGAGCAGCGAGUGGCCAAGAUGAGAGGGCAGAGAGUAGAUGUCUCUGCAAGCUACCGUAACAGAGCCCAUGCAUUCCUGAAUGGCAGCYUGACUUUGUGCCCCAUGCAAUGGGGAGACAAGGGCAAGUAUGUGGCGGAAAUAUUUGAUCAGGAUGGUGUGCACAUGCAUCAUGAAAUUAUUAACCUGGAACUGAACAAAAUGGAAACAUUUAAAGAAACCACAGAAUUUAUUGGUGGAUCCAUGUUCUUGAAUCUAACAGAGAUGAAGUUGAGACACUUCCAGGUAGUCUGGAAAAAGGAAAACACAGAAGUCGCUAGGACAAGUGGCUUUAAUUUUUGGUACCAUGAGGACUAUGUUAACAGGUCUGAGAUUGUGUCUAAUUACAGUCUCAGACUAGACAGGAUUCAGAAAAGUGACCAGGGCAUUUAUUCUAUAGAAGUGAAUGACAGAGAUGGGAGAACGGUAUAUGAAAGCACCAUUCGUGUGAAGGUUGAGCAAAACGAGACAUCCAGAAGAAAUUAUGGUCAAUUACUGUUCUAUGUUCUCAUAACAUCACAAGCAGUUGUAAUUAUUAUUAUCUUGGUUGUGCUGAUAUGGCAUUUUAAGAACAACAAACACAGGUCAGUUUGGAUAAGAGUACCCAGAGUACCAAGCUUUCGGCACAUGAGUUCAAGCCUAACAGAUGAGAGAGAUAAUCCUGAGAAACCUGAAGAAACGGAUGAAAACAGUCUUUGUUUACAAAAUGAUGAAAACUCUAGUGUGCAGGGACCAGAUGGUACAAGCUGCACUGAGCAAAGAAGUGAAGCUGGAAAAAGGCUCGAAUUGCCACACCUCAAUGGUAUGAAAGCUGGAAAGCCUCCUGCUUCAGUUAGUGAGGUGUGUGUUGCUCCACACUUUGAGAACAUCCCUCCAGGAUCUGAGGACUGUGUUCUUCCAGAAUUUGAUUACCCCCUUCCCUCAGUGUAUGAUGGCUGCCUUUCUCCAGAAUUUGAUCUCUGCAGUCCUCCAGGAUCUGAGGAUUUGAAGGAAGAUGACUAUGUUGCUAUGCAUGAUAUAGUUUUUGUCUCUCCAGGAGCUAGAGAGGCAUGGGAAAGGAGUGAAGACAACUUCAUUCAGUAUGCUUCUAUCAAGUAGAAUGCAAGAGGAUUCCCACAGGAUGAGUCUGGAAACUCAAUUUCCAGUUCUUCCCAUUAGAUUUGCCAGGAAAUAUGUUUGCAGCAUUGGACUGAAAUUUGGACUCUCUCUUUCUCUUUUGGCUGGUCUUGAGCCAACCUUGAAGUUCUGCUGUUAGUUUCUCAUUUGGAUAAAUCUGAUUCUUGAUUUGCUUUGUAGAUUUGGCUGGAAGCCUAAUGGGAAAUCUCUCUGUGGAUCAGUUUGUUUUCCACAGCUGGGGCCCAUCUAUUCCCUUUGUUUUGCUGAAGGUCUUCCAGGAUGACCCAUUAGGAGCCCCGUGUAAAGCAGACAGGAGAAUUAACCCUAAGAAUAGUUCAUCCCAGGCCUCUCUUGUUUGCUUCCACUAGGAGGUGUCAUCGUAGGAAAGAGAAGGGCCUCAGGGAUUUCUGGAGGCCAGGUCUGGGCCCUGACCUCCCGUCCUUGUCUCCUGUUGUGUGGAAGAUGCACCUGAGUGAAUUGGUAGAUAUAAGCAUAAAUUUUCCUCUGCUGUUUGCUUAGAAGAAUGUGCCACUUAGGUGGAAGUCAGUCAAAAGUAUAUUACGAGAAGGGAAUUGCACUGAAGAACAUGCAGCAAGUUUUACUUGGGGAACUGUUGUUUUAGAAGAAAAAAGGAAAAGUAAAGGAAAGAAAUGAGAGCAUUGCUAGCAAAUGGGUUUAGCCAUAAAUGUAAUUGCCUUUAAAGAACAGCCUUGGUAAUUAGAUACAUUUUCUGCAAUGCCUGUAUUAAACUUAGUGAUCUUAAAUGGUGUGUAAUUGUUUUCAUAGAUUGCUUUUAAAUCUUACAGAUUGCUUCUUUUAGGUUUGAUGAACUAACUUUUUUUACAGAAUGUUGAAUAAAAGUAUUUUUUCUUAUUACUGAAAAGGUAUU
rnacentral:lncRNA from 1 species